rnacentral:rRNA from 1 species
GACAGAGGGUGCAAACGUUGCUCGGAAUCACUGGGCGUAAAGGGCGUGUAGGCGGGACAGUAAGUCGGGCGUGAAAUCCCUGGGCUCAACCCAGGAACUGCACUCGAAACUACUAUUCUUGAGUGUCGGAGAGGAAAGCGGAAUUCCUGGUGUAGAGGUGAAAUUCGUAGAUAUCAGGAGGAACACCAGUGGCGAAGGCGGCUUUCUGGA